UUGAUAGGAUUAUUUGCAAGUAUAAGAUGAUUCAGUAUUUGCAUAAAUGUUUACAGGAUGAGAACUAAAAAUGAUGCAUUAUUUCCUGGUGUCGACACCUGCUUCUGUUCCAAUCUGCUUUUGCUGAAACUGGAUCUUGGAAGUGAGUGAUGUUGGAGCUGUUCAGCUCAUGCAAAUAUCGACAUUAUACUGUCCCUGACAUGCACAGACCUGCUAAGGCUGUAAGUCAAAGUUUGACAUGAAGAAGGAAAGAAACUCAGAUUUGAGACUUCCAUUGUAUUCUGAGAGAAAAUUUAACCCACGCAUGGUAAAACAAUCCAAGUGACAAUGUGCUAAACUGGAUGGGGAGAUAGGCAAACUCUGGUAAUACCUCCUUGCCUUUGUAAUGUGACAUUCAGCAAAGCCUUGGCUCGGAGCUUUUGGAAUGAAGAAGUAAACAGUUGCAUACGAAGACAUAUGGAAUUAAGUUUUGGAAAUAAUCAGAACAAGAAGAGUAAAAAUUUCACAGAUGCAGAAAACAACUUUUGUAUGGGUGAUGACGUUUUUCUGAUUGUCUGAUUUAAAAACUAUAUUUGAAUUUUGUUCCCUGCCUGGCUGUAAAACUGUGGUAUAUCUCUCUAAGAUGUCUACGGAGAAGGAUAGAGUGCCUUUGUAAUGUGCAUACUGUAGUUUAAGCUUUGGACUCUUAGUUGUGUUAGCUUUUGACUGUGGAAAGAGAGCUGAAGAAGUGUUGUCUUAUAGCUGGAGCAAGAAAGAUUUCCUCCUUAGUUUUAUUCUUAAUUCUGCUACUGACUUUGUCUAUAUGGGUAAAUUCCUCACAUCCUUCUGUGGGUAAGUAAGUCACUUAUAUCUCUGUCAGCUUCUGCUUUGCUGAGAAGGAUAGAAAGGUUUAUGUGAGGUACCAUCCUAUGUACAUUGAGGUGAACCAGGAUUCUGCUGCUGGGUUACUGCAUUCCUUCACCUACUUCACCUGAGACAGUUGCCAGAGUGCCAGACACUGCUCUCGCUUCGUGCGUGUUUCAUGAAUGGAGGAUGACAUUUGUUGUGCUUGGGAAGGAGAGGCUUUGCUUAGUGCCGUUGUGCGUGAGAGACAGAAGUAAGAGAAGCAGACUGGUUUGAGAGACAAGUAGAGAUAGAUAAGGAAGCCUGAUUCAGUCCAGGUACUUAGAAAGGCUUUUGGGAUAGAACUGUCUAGAAGAACUUUAGGGCUGAGAUAAGGAAAUUGUUAGCUCCUGUUUGAUGGAUGCAAUGCCAAGGAUAACUUGUUUUUUACAUUCUUUGUAAGCAAAAAAGCAUAACCAGAACAAUCCACAAAUUUUUGAGUGUUGCUCAGCUGCAGGGGUUAAACAAUCAACACUACCAAAUGCCAAAAUACCUAUGGUUGGACCUAGGGCAGUAUAAAUCACCCUCUCCAGACCUACUGUCUGUUUCCUGCAGCGCAGGGACAGGAUGAAGUAAUGUCAACAGUGCUAUUGAAGCUACUCUUGAGCAACAGCCUGGAGAAGAUCCCUCUGCCCUCUUCUUGUAGGUGUCCUCAUCUCCCAAUCCAUUAACUAAA
ensembl:lncRNA